GACGAACGCUGGCGGCGUGCUUAACACAUGCAAGUCGAACGGAAAGGCCCUGCUUUUGUGGGGUGCUCGAGUGGCGAACGCGUGAGUAACACGUGAGUAACCUGCCCUUGUCUUUGGGAUAACUUCAGGAAACAGGGGCUAAUACCGGAUAGGAGCUCCUGCUGCAUGGUGGGGGUUGGAAAGUUUCGGCGGUUGUGGAUGGACUAGCGGCUUAUCCGCUUGUUGGUGGGGUAGUGGCGUACCAAGGCUUUGACGGGUAGCCGGCCUGAGAGGGUGACCGGCCACAUUGGGACUGAGAGACGGCCCAGACUCCUACGGGAGGCAGCAGUGGGGAAUAUUGCACAAUGAGCGGAAGUCUGAUGCAGCAACGCCGCGAGCGGGAUGACGUCCUUCGAGUUGUAAACCGCUGUCGCCUGUGACGAAGCGUGAGUGACGGUAAUUAGUAAAGAAGCACCGGCUAACUACGUG
rnacentral:rRNA from 1 species